rnacentral:rRNA from 1 species
UACGGAGGUGCGAGCGUUGUCCGGAAUCACUGGCGUAAGGCGCGUAGGCGGCGCGGGCAGUCAACGGUGAAGCUUGGGCUCAACCCGAGUCGGCCGUCGAUACUCCGGCUGGAGCACUGUAGAGGCAGGUGGAAUUCCGGUGUAGCGGUGAAUGCGUAGAGAUCAGGAGAACACCGUGGCUAAGCGGCUCUCUAGUACGGUACUGACGCUGAGACGCGAAGCGUGGAGCGAACAGG